rnacentral:rRNA from 1 species
GACGAACGCUGGCGGCGUGCCUAAUACAUGCAAGUAGAACGCUGAAGGAGGAGCUUGCUUCUCUGGAUGAGUUGCGAACGGGUGAGUAACGCGUAGGUAACCUGCCUGGUAGCGGGGGAUAACUAUUGGAAACGAUAGCUAAUACCGCAUAAGAGUAGAUGUUGCAUGACAUUUGCUUAAAAGGUGCAAUUGCAUCACUACCAGAUGGACCUGCGUUGUAUUAGCUAGUUGGUGGGGUAACGGCUUACCAAGGCGACGAUACAUAGCCGACCUGAGAGGGUGAUCGGCCACACUGGGACUGAGACACGGCCCAGACUCCUACGGGAGGCAGCAGUAGGGAAUCUUCGGCAAUGGACGGAAGUCUGGCCGAGCAACGCCGCGUGAGUGAAGAAGGUUUUCGGAUCGUAAAGCUCUGUUGUAAGAGAAGAACGAGUGUGAGAGUGGAAAGUUCACACUGUGACGGUAUCUUACCAGAAAGGGACGGCUAACUACGUG